GAGAGAGAGACAUGCGCGCAUAUCAAUAAGCGGAGGAAAAGAAACUAACAAGGAUUCCCUUAGUAACGGCGAGUGGAAGCGGGAAGAGCUCAAAUUUGAAAUCUUCAAGGUUCUACCUUGACGAAUUGUAGUUUAUAAGAGGUGUUUUCUGUUAGUGUAGUGGCUAAAAGUUCUUUGGAAUAGGACAUCAUAGAGGGUGAGAAUCCCGUAUUUGUACCAUUACCUCCUAGCGUUGUGAUACACUUUCAACGAGUCGGAUUGUUUGGGAAUGCAGUCCAAAAUGGGUGGUAAAUUUCAUCUAAAGCUAAAUAUUGGCGAGAGACCGAUAACGAACAAGUACCGUGAGGGAAAGAUGAAAAGAACUUUGAAAAGAGAGUUAAACAGUACGUGAAAUUGUCAAAAGGGAAGCGUUUGACACCAGUGUUGUUUUUCCGAAAAUCAAUUACGAAUGUUUUGAUUUUUGAGGAGUUAUGACUUCAUCGGCUUGCUCCUUUCUUUACGAAACUUUCUUAAUGCACUUUUCGGUUAACAAGUCAACAUCAAUUUCUUUUGUUGUAAAAGGGUAUGAGGAAGGUGGCUUUCUUUUCGGAGAAAGUGUUUAUAGCCUUGUGCCUCUGCAAUCGGAGAGAUUGAGGUCUGCAGCGUAGAUCCUUCGGGGUUAGAUAGCAUUUGUGCUAAGUUAUAGCUUUUCAUAGACAACUUGUUGACUAUGAUUCAGUCAUUGUAGCUUACUCGCUGACUGCUAUUUUACCUACGCUUAGGAUGUUGAUAGUCACAGCGUGUAC
rnacentral:rRNA from 1 species